UGCGUAGGCGGUUUAUUAAGUCAGAUGUGAAAUACCCGGGCUUAACCUGGGAAUGGCAUUUGAAACUGGUAGGCUGGAGUGCAGGAGAGGAAAGCGGAAUUCCUAGUGUAGCGGUGAAAUGCGUAGAUAUUAGGAAGAACACCAGUGGCGAAGGCGGCUUUCUGGACUGUAACUGACGCUGAGGCACGAAAGCGUGGGGAGCAAACAGGAUUAGAUACCCUGGUAGUCCACGCUGUAAACGAUGAGUGCUAGGUGUAGGGGGUGUCAUGCCCUCUGUGCCGCAGUAAACGCAAUAAGCACUCCGCCUGGGGAGUACGGUCGCAAGACUAAA
rnacentral:rRNA from 1 species